CCAGCUCCAAUAGCGUAUAUUUAAGUUGUUGCAGUUAAAAAGCUCGUAGUUGGACCUUCGGGCGGAGGUCUCGGUCUGCCGUUUCGGCUGAUACUGUUUCCUCCGUCCUUCCUGUCGGGAACGCGCCCUGGCCUUCACUGGUUGGGGUGCGGGCGCGACGACGUUACUUUGAAAAAAUUAGAGUGUUCAAAGCAGGCCACGUUCUGAAUACAUUAGCAUGGAAUAACAGCACAGGACUCUGGUCCUAUUGCGUUGGUCUCCAGGACCGGAGUAAUGGUUAAUAGGGACUGUUGGGGGCAUUCGUAUUUCAUUGUCAGAGGUGAAAUUCUUGGAUUUAUGAAAGACGAACUACUGCGAAAGCAUUUGCCAAGGAUGUCUUCG
rnacentral:rRNA from 1 species